GUAGGGGGCGGGGGAAGGAAGGAAAAAGGAAAGAAAAAGAAGAAAAAAAAAAGAGAAAGAACAGAGGAAGAAGGGGAGCAGGAAAGAGGAAGAGGAGAGGAAGGAAGGUUCCAGAAGAAGAGAGAAAGGAAGCGGAGCGAAGAGACGAGGAGACCGCGGACAGUGAUAGCGCGAUUGGCCGAAAGAAGGAAGAUGAAAAUGGGAGGUACGGUGAUAUAUUUCAAAUACGUAUGUGUUGAUUUGAGAUUGAAAAUGUGGAUGCGAAAUCUGGAGUUGGUGUGUGUUUGUGAGUGUUUACGGAGGUAGCGGUGUAUGGAGGAGACAGUAUAGGGGAGUGCGUGCAUUAACGUGUGUAGAAGAGAGUUGGUCGCGUGAGAACC
rnacentral:lncRNA from 1 species